AGUUAAUGAACUUGAAUUAAGUAAAUGUUUUGAAAACAUUAAAUAGAAAUAUAUUCUAUUAACUU
rnacentral:tRNA from 1 species